rnacentral:rRNA from 1 species
CUUGCAUUCACCGUAAGAAGUUGAGUGGCGGACGGGUGAGUAACACGUGGGUAACCUGCCUAAAAGAAGGGGAUAACACUUGGAAACAGGUGCUAAUACCGUAUAUCUCUAAGGAUCGCAUGAUUCUUAGAUGAAAGAUGGUUCUGCUAUCGCUUUUAGAUGGACCCGCGGCGUAUUAACUAGUUGGUGGGGUAACGGCCUACCAAGGUGAUGAUACGUAGCCGAACUGAGAGGUUGAUCGGCCACAUUGGGACUGAGACACGGCCCAAACUCCUACGGGAGGCAGCAGUAGGGAAUCUUCCACAAUGGACGCAAGUCUGAUGGAGCAACGCCGCGUGAGUGAAGAAGGUCUUCGGAUCGUAAAACUCUGUUGUUAGAGAAGAACACGAGUGAGAGUAACUGUUCAUUCGAUGACGGUAUCUAACCAGCAAGUCACGGCUAACUACGUGCCAGCAGCCGCGGUAAUACGUAGGUGGCAAGCGUUGUCCGGAUUUAUUGGGCGUAAAGGGAACGCAGGCGGUCUUUUAAGUCUGAUGUGAAAGCCUUCGGCUUAACCGGAGUAGUGCAUUGGAAACUGGAAGACUUGAGUGCAGAAGAGGAGAGUGGAACUCCAUGUGUAGCGGUGAAAUGCGUAGAUAUAUGGAAGAACACCAGUGGCGAAAGCGGCUCUCUGGUCUGUAACUGACGCUGAGGUUCGAAAGCGUGGGUAGCAAACAGGAUUAGAUACCCUGGUAGUCCACGCCGUAAACGAUGAAUGCUAGGUGUUGGAGGGUUUCCGCCCUUCAGUGCCGCAGCUAACGCAAAUAAGCAUUUCCGCCUGGGGAGUACGACCGCCAAGGUUGAAACUCAAAAGGGAAUUGACCGGGGGCCCCCCACAAGCGGUGGAGCAUG